rnacentral:misc_RNA from 1 species
UCAAACUUGGUCAUUUAGAGGAAGUAAAAGUCGUAACAAGGUAUCCGUAGGUGAACCUGCGGAUGGAUCAUUACCAAUUUAUCUGUAUAUGUAGUCUUUCUGUAAUGGAACGGCUAUAAUAUAUAUCUAUGUAAAUUGUUGAACUUGUGCUGUGAGGAAAUUUGGAUGUCGUCGUCCUUUGUGGCGCCGCAUCCAUUACUACCUUGCACGUUAAACAACUUUAGACAUACUACCAUUCUUACUACAAACAAACAAAACAACCUAUAGGAUUUAUUUAAUAGCUGAGUGGGUAAAAUCCUCGGCUAGCAAAACAAAUAAUACUAUUACAACUUACAACAAUGGAUCUCUAGGCUCUCGCAUCGAUGAAGAACGCAGC